ACGAACGCUGGCGGCGUGCUUAACACAUGCAAGUCGAACGGAAAGGCCCUGCUUUUGUGGGGUGCUCGAGUGGCGAACGGGUGAGUAACACGUGAGUAACCUGCCCUUGACUUUGGGAUAACUUCAGGAAACUGGGGCUAAUACCGGAUAGGAGCUCCUGCUGCAUGGUGGGGGUUGGAAAGUUUCGGCGGUUGGGGAUGGACUCGCGGCUUAUCAGCUUGUUGGUGGGGUAGUGGCUUACCAAGGCUUUGACGGGUAGCCGGCCUGAGAGGGUGACCGGCCACAUUGGGACUGAGAUACGGCCCAGACUCCUACGGGAGACAGCAGUGGGGAAUAUUGCACAAUGGGCGGAAGCCUGAUGCAGCAACGCCGCGUGCGGGAUGACGGCCUUCGGGUUGUAAACCGCUUUCGCCUGUGACGAAGCGUGAGUGACGGUAAUGGGUAAAGAAGCACCGGCUAACUA
rnacentral:rRNA from 1 species